rnacentral:rRNA from 1 species
GACGAACGCUGGCGGCGUGCCUAAUACAUGCAAGUCGAGCGGAGUUAGGAGGGAGCUUGCUCCCGAUUGACUCAGCGGCGGACGGGUGAGUAACACGUAGGCAACCUGCCUCACAGACUGGGAUAACUACCGGAAACGGUAGCUAAUACCGGAUAAUUCCUUUCCUCUCAUGUGGGAAGGAUGAAAGACGGAGCAAUCUGUUACUGAGAGAUGGGCCUGCGGCGCAUUAGCUAGUUGGUGGGGUAACGGCCCACCAAGGCGACGAUGCGUAGCCGACCUGAGAGGGUGAACGGCCACACUGGGACUGAGACACGGCCCAGACUCCUACGGGAGGCAGCAGUAGGGAAUCUUCCGCAAUGGGCGAAAGCCUGACGGAGCAACGCCGCGUGAGUGAUGAAGGUUUUCGGAUCGUAAAGCUCUGUUGCCAGGGAAGAACGUCCGGUAAAGUAACUGCUACCGGAGUGACGGUACCUGAGAAGAAAGCCCCGGCUAACUACGUGCCAGCCGCCGCAGUAA